rnacentral:rRNA from 1 species
UACGUAGGGUGCGAGCGUUAAUCGGAAUUACUGGGCGUAAAGCGUGCGCAGGCGGCGCCGCAAGUCAGGCGUGAAAUCCCCGAGCUUAACUUGGGAAUGGCGCUUGAAACUACGGUGCUGGAGUGUGGCAGAGGGAGGUGGAAUUCCAUGUGUAGCGGUGAAAUGCGUAGAGAUGUGGAGGAACACCGAUGGCGAAGGCAGCCUCCUGGGCCAACACUGACGCUCAUGCACGAAAGCGUGGGGAGCAAACAGG